rnacentral:rRNA from 1 species
UACGGGGGGGGCAAGCGUUGUUCGGAAUUACUGGGCGUAAAGGGUUCGUAGGUGGCUCGCUAAGUCAGACGUGAAAUCCCUCAGCUUAACUGGGGAACUGCGUCUGAGACUGGCGAGCUUGAGUGCAGGAGAGGAACGCGGAAUUCCAGGUGUAGCGGUGAAAUGCGUAGAUAUCUGGAGGAACACCGGUGGCGAAGGCGGCGUUCUGGACUGCAACUGACACUGAUGAACGAAAGCCAGGGGAGCAAACGGG